rnacentral:rRNA from 1 species
AUUGAACGCUGGCGGCAGGCCUAACACAUGCAAGUCGAGCGGAGCGGCGGACGGGCGAGUAAUGCCUAGGAAUCUGCCUGGUCGUGGGGGAUAACGACCGGCAACGGGCGCUAAUACCGCAUACUCUCAGUUGAGUCUAUGUCGGAUUAGAUAGUUGGUGGGGUAAAGGCGUACCAAGGCGACGAUCCGUAACUGGUCUGAGUGGAUGAUCAGUCACACUGGAACUGAGACACGGUCCAGACUCCUACGGGAGGCAGCAGUGGGGAAUAUUGGACAAUGGGCGAAAGCCUGAUCCAGCCAUGCCGCGUGUGUGAAGAAGGUCUUAGGAUUGUAAAGCACUUUAAGUUGGGAGGCGUUACCAACAGAAUAAGCACCGGCUAACUUCGUGCCAGCAGCCGCGGUAAUUC